AUAACAAUUGCAUAUGUUGUAGUCUUCUCAACCACUAAUAACAAUUGCAUCUGUUCCCGUGGUAAUUCUAGCAUUGUCUAGCCAACAAAAUGGUAUGUUUAUGUGAUGAAUGUCAAUUAGUUUGUUUGAUUUCAUUAGUGUUUUGUGUUUUUGUUAAUGCCUUUCCUUAUAUGUCGCCAUUGGAAUUCUUGUUUAUUACAGUUACGUCUCAGGCAUGAAUGUAAGUCGAAGUAUAUUACUAAAGUCAACGAGAAGCUUACCGAACUUCAAAGGUCUCAAAUUCAAAAAACACCAUUUAAAUGGUUAUUGAGUUUGCCUAUGAAAUUAAAAAUAUCCGAAAAUUUUCUUGAAGAAUUGGUAGAAAGAUGGGAUGAUAGGAGUGGGGGGUUUGCUAUACAAGGUCGGAUAAUACGGUUUACACCUUUAGAUGUAUGUUUUGCAUUAGGACUUUGUUUAAUAGGUGAAAAUGUGAAAUUCAAAAAGGACCCUAUAUCCACUACGAAAGCAAUGUUUGAUAAUGAAGUCAUCAAUGUAAAAACAAUUUAUGCUAAAAUUAUUAAUUUGGAACGAGACGAAGAUGUUGAGAAGUUUUGCCGACUUUAUUUACUUCUUGGUUUUGCCGAGUUCUACUUUCCAAAUUCAAGUGUUAAGGUUAGUGGUUGGUGCCUAAAAAUGUUAGAAGACUUGAACUCCAUUGGGAGAUACAAUUGGGGUGUCUCUGUUUAUGAAACUCUUGCUUGCAGUUUAAAUCGAGUAGCGCCUCUUUUUUGUGAAGGAAAAAAUUCUUCACGGUUACAAAUUAAGGGAUGCGCUCUUGUAUUACAGGUUUGUUAUUGUAUGAUCAUUU
rnacentral:lncRNA from 1 species